rnacentral:ncRNA from 1 species
CGCGGCUACUCCACACAAUAGCUGCAAACCGCCGAAUAAAGGAGGAAUACCAUCCGCAGGCUUGCGGUGCGGCAGUGUGGAGACCUGUCGUAAGGCGUCGCGCUUCGGCGGACGCGAGGUAUGGGCAAGCGGAGGCUCCCAUAUCAAAGCCUUUUUACAUGGCA